rnacentral:rRNA from 1 species
AAUGAACGCUGGCGGCAGGCCUAACACAUGCAAGUCGAGCGAGCAUUUCGGUGCUAGCGGCGGACGGGUGAGUAACGCGUGGGAACGUGCCCUUUUCUGCGGAAUAGUCCUGGGAAACUGGGGGUAAUACCGCAUACGCCCUUUUGGGGAAAGAUUUAUCGGAGAAGGACCGGCCCGCGUUGGAUUAGGUAGUUGGUGGGGUAAUGGCCCACCAAGCCGACGAUCCAUAGCUGGUUUGAGAGGAUGAUCAGCCACACUGGGACUGAGACACGGCCCAGACUCCUACGGGAGGCAGCAGUGGGGAAUCUUAGACAAUGGGGGCAACCCUGAUCUAGCCAUGCCGCGUGAGUGAUGAAGGCCUUAGGGUUGUAAAGCUCUUUCAGCUGGGAAGAUAAUGACGGUACCAGCAGAAGAAGCCCCGGCUAACUCCGUG